GACGAACGCUGGCGGCGUGCUUAACACAUGCAAGUGGAGCGACGAACCGGGGCUUGCCCCGGGCGAGAGCCGCGAACGGGUGAGUAACACGUGGGUUACCUGCCCCAAUGACCGGGACAACCCGAGGAAACUCGGGCUAAUACCGGAUGUGGUCUUCGGACGAAAGGAAGCUUCGGCCUCCGCAUUGGGAUGGGCCCGCGG
rnacentral:rRNA from 1 species